GCUUUUCGGAUCAGUGGCGAAUGGGUGAGUAACACGUGAGUAACCUGCCCUUGACCCUGGGAUAACUGCUAGAAAUGGUAGCUAAUACCGGAUACGACCCUCGGCCGCAUGGUCAGGGGGUGGAAAGAAUUUUGGUCAAGGAUGGACUCGCGGCCUAUCAGGUAGUUGGUGAGGUAAUGGCUCACCAAGCCUACGACGGGUAGCCGGCCUGAGAGGGUGACCGGCCACACUGGGACUGAGACACGGCCCAGACUCCUACGGGAGGCAGCAGUGGGGAAUAUUGCACAAUGGGCGAAAGCCUGAUGCAGCAACGCCGCGUGAGGGACGACGGCCUUCGGGUUGUAAACCUCUUUUAGUAGGGAAGAAGCGAAAGUGACGGUACCUGCAGAAAAAGCACCGGCUAACUACGCGCCAGCAGCCGCGGUAAUACGUAGGGUGCAAGCGUUGUCCGGAAUUAUUGGGCGUAAAGAGCUCGUAGGCGGUUUGUCGCGUCUGCUGUGAAAUCCGGAGGCUCAACCUCCGGCCUGCAGUGGGUACGGGCAGACUAGAGUGCGGUAGGGGAGA
rnacentral:rRNA from 1 species